ACAUCCAGAGAACUUAGCAGAGAUGCUUUGGUGCCUUCGGGAACUCUGAGACAGGUGCUGCAUGGCUGUCGUCAGCUCGUGUUGUGAAAUGUUGGGUUAAGUCCCGNAACGAGCGCAACCCUUAUCCUUUGUUGCCAGCGGUUCGGUCGGGAACUCAAAGGAGACUGCCGGUGAUAAACCGGAGGAAGGUGGGGAUGACGUCAAGUCAUCAUGGCCCUUACGGCCAGGGCUACACACGUGCUACAAUGGCGCAUACAAAGAGAAGCGACCUCGCGAGAGCAAGCGGACCUCAUAAAGUGCGUCGUAGUCCGGAUUGGAGUCUGCAACUCGACUCCAUGAAGUCGGAAUCGCUAGUAAUCGUAGAUCAGAAUGCUACGGUGAAUACGUUCCCGGGCCUUGUACACACCGCCCGUCACACCAUGGGAGUGGGUUGCAAAAGAAGUAGGUAGCUUAACCUUCGGGAGGGCGCUUACCACUUUGUGAUUCAUGACUGGGGUGAAGUCGUAACAAGGUAGGCGUAGCGAG
rnacentral:rRNA from 1 species